AAAAGAAAAGUAUCUGGGUUUGUAGCGAAGACCAAGAGGAAUUUUCCGCUGCUGCCAGAGCAGUGGGAGAGCAGAUGGCUGGAAGUUGGGAAGGCAGCUCCAGAGUGCAGCAGUGAGCAGCACGCGACAGCAUCCCCAGAGCCAGGAGACUGCCUGYGAGGGGAAGGCAUGCUUGGUUGCUGGUUCACCAGUGCUUAARUAAUAGCUGGAAUUGCUUUGGAGAGCAGCAAUGGUAUUAAGACAAAGUUUCAGGUAGAUGGAUGUGUACAGUAGAAUUAACAGGAAGAUGCACCUUUUUCCACGAGACUGCUGCUCUGAAAUCUCUGCUGGUUACAUCUUCUGGUUCCUCAGAAUAAAAUAGCAACUGUGGCUCCUGUCCCUGAGCAUGAACUUCAUUGCAAGAAUGACCGAUUGACUGGCAGACYCUUCCCUCCUGUCUUAACAACAGCAGGCGAUUGCAGUGAGUGCUUCCUUUGCAGUCCUCUGCAAGACAGCUUAAAUAGGUUUAAGAGCCAUACAGUGACAUUUGCAGCCAAGAUCAUUAUGCUGUGCACUAAGCUAAUUUGAGAGGAUGCUCAAAUUUUAACCCUUUCAAUUAUUUAUGGUAGCCAAGCAGAAGAGAGUAGUGGUGUAUAAACUCACAGUUUCAGACAGCCAAUGUGAAUGCCUUCUGUUUUGAAAAUCUGGAAGAAUACCAACCAGCUCUGGAAUGGCUAUUUUCUUCUAUAGAUUCAUCACAUCCAGGACUAACUUUGAAAUCAAAUAAAUGGAAUAAAAAAUUAUCGGAACAAGAUGACCAACACAGCUUGGAGAGGGAAAAGCAGCUGUGCUCUUCAGGUGUCCCCAGGAGUUAAACAGAAGUAUAUAUGGAGCAGCAGUCAGCUACACACAUCUCUGGAGAACAYGAUGUUGAUGGAAAGAGAACAGUGCUUCAGGAGCCUGUCCURGUACUGACUUCAACUCAUUGUUCAGCUAGUAUCAUCAGGACAGAAUUGUCAUAGAUGUACUUUGAAACUGCUCUGCCAAAAGGGAGAUCUGUGAAUGAAAGUCUAAACUUGUAUCACCUCUAGCAAGAGGCURCUGGAGGUCUUCAACCUAACAGGUAGCUAUGGACUGACAGGAAAAUGGUUGAGCUGCUGUUCUGCUUUCCAGUUUCCCCAGAACUCAAAGGGAUAGACUACAGAUAGAACUUCAACAAAAAUAUAAGGUAACCUUAUMUCCUAAAGUGAAGAUAUUCCUUAGCAAGCUUUCUUGUGAAAUGUGUUGUGAUAUUGGGCAAUGACUUAUUUAUUAGUAAAAAGCAAAAAGUAGUUAAGUGGCUCCCCAGGCAGCAUGUUGUAAGCCCUUUAUUUUGUGUGUAAUUGCAAAUGCMAUUGUAAAUAUGAAAGUGCUGCUGCACUGUACCCAAACUCUUCUCGAAGUGACAUUUCCCAAGUCCCCUAUCCAGCCUAUUUUCACUAAUGCCUCCUGAUCAAAUCUCAUUUCUUUGGUUUAUUUUUCACCUCUUUCUUGUCUGUUUUACUUAGUACUUCUCUACAACUCCCUACCCUAGUCUGGCAAGACAUUGCAAUGUCUCUUGCACUUAAGGCUCCUUUUUACUAUAUCCUUAUUCUUGUCUGGUAUCCUCUGCAUUUAGGCUAGGGGGACAAUGUAUCUGAGAAACUUUUCUCUCCUUAUAAUAAACUGGUUCUUUAGUGUCACUUUUGCUCAUCAUUAGACUAUUGUUAUCUUUAUUUUUCUUCUCCUGUCCCUCUGUUUUUUUCAGGUAGCAGCUGAACGUGACUAUGUAGCCGGUACUAUUGCUGAUUUUCCUAAGCUUUCAAUUUGCAACAAUAAUAGAAUGCAUAAAGCCUUGCUGCCCUUUCUUUUGUCUUUAUGUACAACACAUUUUAUGUGUCUUGUUCUUAUGUUUUUUUUAUAUGGAACAUCCCUCUGGAAAAUGAGGGGUAGAGUAAGAAGUUAGGUGUUGCUGGAUUGUGGAAGACUGAUUGUGUGCAUCAUCUCUGCCCAGGCAAAGAAGCAAAACAGCUUUUAGGAGGAGAAGUUGAGUAGUGGCAGAAYGAUAAUUAAUGAGGUUCAUUCAAAUGCCUUGCUCCUGUGUAGUUAAGAGCUUUUUCUGGCUGGCCUUUCUUAUAUCUAUGUUGUUAUUGCUACUGAUAUGAUG